AUUGAACGCUGGCGGCAUGCUUUACACAUGCAAGUCGAACGGCAGCGCGGGCUUCGGCCUGGCGGCGAGUGGCGAACGGGUGAGUAAUGCAUCGGAACGUGCCCAGCAGUGGGGGAUAGCCCGGCGAAAGCCGGAUUAAUACCGCAUACGACCUGAGGGUGAAAGCGGGGGACCGAAAGGCCUCGCGCUAUUGGAGCGGCCGAUGUCGGAUUAGCUAGUUGGUGGGGUAAAGGCUUACCAAGGCGACGAUCCGUAGCUGGUCUGAGAGGACGACCAGCCACACUGGGACUGAGACACGGCCCAGACUCCUACGGGAGGCAGCAGUGGGGAAUUUUGGACAAUGGGGGCAACCCUGAUCCAGCCAUGCCGCGUGCGUGAAGAAGGCCUUCGGGUUGUAAACCGCUUUUGUUCGGGAAGAAAUCCUCUGGGCUAAUACCCCGGGGGGAUGACGGUACCGGAAGAAUAAGCACCGGCUAACUACGUG
rnacentral:rRNA from 1 species